UACGUAGGGCGCAAGCGUUAUCCGGAAUUAUUGGGCGUAAAGAGCUCGUAGGCGGUUUGUCGCGUCUGCCGUGAAAGUCCGGGGCUCAACUCCGGAUCUGCGGUGGGUACGGGCAGACUAGAGUGAUGUAGGGGAGACUGGAAUUCCUGGUGUAGCGGUGAAAUGCGUAGAUAUCAGGAGGAACGCCGGAGGCGAAAGCGAGUGACUGGCGCGUUCCUGACGCUGAGGUGCGAAAGCUAGGGGAGCAAACAGG
rnacentral:rRNA from 1 species